UUUCAGUUGCCACAAAUAAAGCGAGGAACCCCCUGUUACAUGGCUCCAGAGCUCUUUCAGGAUGGAGGGGUCCAUUCCUAUGCCUCUGAUUUCUGGGCUCUUGGUUGUGUGUUGUUUGAAUGCUAUGCUGGGAUACCUCCUUUUGUUGGCAAAGAGUUUACCCAGUUAGUGAGAUCAAUCAUUUCUGAUCCAACUCCAGAACUUCCUGGCACACCAAGCCGCCCCUUUGUCAAUCUGAUUAACUCUCUUCUAAUAAAAGAUCCUGCUGAAAGAAUGCAGUGGCCCGAGCUUGCUGGACAUGCUUUCUGGAAAACAAGAUUUUCUGCAGUGCCUUUACCUCCUCAGCCUGCCUUUGAUAAUAUGAUAGAAGUUUCUUCUAGAUUAUGCCUUUCAGAACGGAACAGUGACAAACCAAUUCAAAACAAGACACCACAAAAGACCUGUGAAAAAGAUUCAAAGGCAUCCCUCAGGCAGGAUGAAAAUUCAAAUACUGGAUCUAGAGGUCACGUGACACCAAUCAAGGGCAUAUCCAGUGGCCGGAAAGCUCAAAUGAAGGGUUCUGGCAGGACACUUGAUGACAAGCAGAAAGACAUCUCAAGCAAUACUAAGGGCGUCAAUCUAUUACGUCUUUCAAGAAUUGCAAAAUCAAACUUAAUGAGGGAAAAUGAGAAGGAGAACUACCGCAGGCCAUUGCCUAAUAAUUCUGAGAAUGAUGCUGACCUGAAGGUUGAAAAUACUGACAUGGAACUUGAUUUUAAUGAGAAUAAUGAGGAUGAUACACAAGAUGAAGCUGAUGAAACUGACAGCACUCAAUGUCCCGAGUCAACUACUUCAACUCCAAAUCAGGCCGAGGGUCAUGUGGAAGAGAUGGAUAUUGACAGCAGACAUCCAGAUCCAUCAGCUAUGGUUAAUACACCUUUCUCAGAUGAUUCAAGGACAUCUGACCAUGAACCGACUUCUGAAUACGAAGUGGCUGCUAUGCUACCAAGUGAUAGCCCUCAGCUAAAGACUCCUGCGAUUAAAGGAAAUCCCGGGAAUGUCUCUGAUAUCUCAAAACCAUCUAAGAACCUUUCAGAUAUUCUCUGGCAUCCUUCUGAUCUUUCAGUUAGACCUGUAAUGCCUAGCAAAAAAUCUGAUAAAGGUUCAGAUGCGAUUCCUUCACUUUCAUUCGAUGCACCUCAGGUAUCUGAUUUUGUCAAAAUGUCAAAGGAGCAAUUAGACACUUUUAGUAGUAGGAUCAUCAGUAUUGUUAGUGGGAAUACUGCCUCUGGGGAGAAGCAGAAUGUGAUCAGGUACCUUGAGCUUUUGACCAGCAAUGCUGAGGCAGCCAACAUCUUGACCAAUGGACCUAUUAUGUUGGUUCUAGUCAAAAUGCUUCGUCACUCCAAGGCUUCGCUGUUGCGUGCUCAACUUGCUUCACUUAUUGGCUUGUUGAUUCGUCACUCUACUUUUAUUGGAGAUGAGCUGGCAAAUUCUGGAAUUUUAGGUGCACUAACCGAUGGUCUGAGAGACAGGCAAGAGAAAGUGAGAAGGUUUUCCAUGGCUGCUUUGGGCGAAUUGCUAUUUUACAUAUCUACUCAAAAUGAGCAUGCGCGGGAUAAUAAACCAAUGGAAUCUCCAUCUAAGGACAGCCGACCCUCAUCCUGUUGGCAGGU
rnacentral:lncRNA from 1 species